UGUGGUUUCAGGCUCCCAGGUCCUUCAGAUGUCCUGCCUGCCUCUGAACAGUUGCUUUCUUUCACACAGGAGUCCCGGUCAAUAAUUAAUACCUGAAGGAUAAGCUAUCAGAAGAGCACGUGGCCAACCCCUUGGGACAAACCCCGGACUCCGAGGACUGAGCCCUCUGUAGGGAACUGAAACUGGUCAUUCCACUCUGUGUACUUGGAACGAAACUGUCCCUCAAGCAGUGAUUGCCCCCUGAUGCUCAGGUCUCCUUGUGAUGCUGACGAAGACAAUGACCAGGUCAUCAUGCUGCCCCAAUACCAUAAAUGAGUUGUCCUUUUCUUGUAGAAGUACCACAGAUUGAGCAUCAUCAGGACAUCCUACGUGCUUGGUUAGGGGUGUGUAUAUUUGACUUUCUCUCUUGGCCCUAAAUUGGGAAAGUGGGGACAAAAC